CAAUUACUCCACCCUGACAAACAAGCCCUCAGGCAAACUGAGUAAGGGUUGUACAACCAGGUGCUUAAUGAUCAUCCUUGAAAUAAUAACACGAUGUACUUGCAGUUUCCUCUAUGGUUGCCCCAGAAUUCAACAUUCAGAGACAUCACAGCUACCAGCACUUCUAAGGCUGCAAGAGAAUGGAUCCACCUUGCAGGUGCUAAGGUAUGCAAGCGGGAAUCAGUUUGCUCUGCAAACAAGCCCUGACCAUCAAAGGGGAGAUCUUGGAUGGUGCUUUGGACCUCCGGCAGGAGACCCGAGGAUUGCAGCCAGGCAUUCCGUUGCAUGGCAAUGCUAGAAGCCAGAGUGCACGCAGCCGCUUCCGCAGCAUCCAGGGAAACCUGGAGGGAGGUCCGGGCCACCAAUUUACCUUCCUCAGCAAUGGCCCUGAGUUCCGUACGGGCCUCCGUUGGGAGAUCUUGGAAUUUAAGGACAGAAGACCAAGAGUUAAAGUUGUAUCUACUGAGGAUCACCAACUGGUUAGUGAUCCUAAGUGAGAGA